rnacentral:rRNA from 1 species
AGGACGAAGGCCUUCGGGUCGUAAACUCCUGUCAGAGGUGAAGAAUGUCCGCAAGGGCUUGACGGUAACCUCAGAGGAAGCCCCGGCUAACUACGUGC